rnacentral:rRNA from 1 species
CCUAGCCCUUCAGAGGGGGACAACAGUUGGAAACGACUGCUAAUACCGCAUACGAUCUAAUCUCGGCAUCGAGGAUAGAUGAAAGGUGGCCUCUACAUGUAAGCUAUCACUGAAGGAGGGGAUUGCGUCUGAUUAGCUAGUUGGAGGGGUAACGGCCCACCAAGGCGAUGAUCAGUAGCCGGUCUGAGAGGAUGAACGGCCACAUUGGGACUGAGACACGGCCCAGACUCCUACGGGAGGCAGCUG